rnacentral:rRNA from 1 species
CCUACGGGUGGCAGCAGUGGGGGAUAUUGCACAAUGGGGGAAACCCUGAUGCAGCGACGCCGCGUGUGGGAAGACGGUCCUAUGGAUUGUAAACCACUGUCCCCAGGGACGAAGAUGACGGUACCUGGGGAGGAAGCUCCGGCUAACUACGUGCCAGCAGCCGCGGUAAUACGUAGGGAGCGAGCGUUGUCCGGAAUUACUGGGUGUAAAGGGAGCGUAGGCGGGACUGCAAGUUGGGUGUCAAAUCUACCGGCUCAACCGGUAGCCGCACUCAAAACUGCAGUUCUUGAGUGAAGUAGAGGCAUGCGGAAUUCCUAGUGUAGCGGUGAAAUGCGUAGAUAUUAGGAGGAACACCAGUGGCGAAGGCAGCCUGCUGGGCUUUUACUGACGCUGAGGCUCGAAAGUGUGGGGAGCGAACAGGAUUAGAUACCCGUGUAGUC